GUGUCAGCAGCCGCGGUAAUACAGAGGUCUCAAGCGUUGUUCGGAUUCAUUGGGCGUAAAGGGUGCGUAGGCGGCGGGGUAAGUCGGAUGUGAAAUCCCGGGGCUCAACCCCGGAACUGCAUUCGAUACUGCCUUGCUAGAGUACUGGAGAGGAGACUGGAAUUUACGGUGUAGCAGUGAAAUGCGUAGAUAUCGUAAGGAAGACCAGUGGCGAAGGCGAGUCUCUGGACAGUUACUGACGCUGAGGCACGAAGGCCAGGGGAGCAAACGGGAUUAGAAACCCUUGUAGUCC
rnacentral:rRNA from 1 species